UACAGAGGUCCCAAGCGUUGUUCGGAUUCAUUGGGCGUAAAGGGUGCGUAGGCGGCUUUGUAAGUCAGUGGUGAAAUAUGGCAGCUCAACUGUCAGGGUGCCAUUGAUACUGCGGAGCUUGAGUACAGAUGAGGUAGGCGGAAUUGACGGUGUAGCGGUGAAAUGCUUAGAUAUCGUCAAGAACACCGAUAGCGAAGGCAGCUUACUAGGCUGUAACUGACGCUGAGGCACGAAAGUGUGGGGAUCAAACAGG
rnacentral:rRNA from 1 species